rnacentral:rRNA from 1 species
GAUGAACGCUGGCGGUGUGCCUAAUACAUGCAAGUCGAGCGAACGGACGAGAAGCUUGCUUCCCUGAUGUUAGCGGCGGACGGGCGAGUAACACGUGGAUAACCUACCUAUAAGACUGGGAUAAUUUCGGGAAACCGGUGCUAAUACCGGAUAAUAUUUCGAACCGCAUGGUUCAAAAGUGAAAGACGGUCUUGCUGUCACUUAUAGAUGGAUCCGCGCUGCAUUAGCUAGUUGGUAAGGUAACGGCUUACCAAGGCAACGAUGCAUAGCCGACCUGAGAGGGUGAUCAGCCACACUGGAACUGAGACACGGUCCAGACUCCUACGGGAGGCAGCAGUAGGGAAUCUUCCGCAAUGGGCGAAAGCCUGACGGAGCAACGCCGCGUGAGUGAUGAAGGUCUUCGGAUCGUAAAACUCUGUUAUUAGGGAAGAACAUAUGUGUAAGUAACUGUGCACAUCUUGACGGUACCUAAUCAGAAAGCCACGGCUAACUUCGUG